rnacentral:rRNA from 1 species
AUGACGCCGCCGCCGCCGCCCGCACCAUCGCUGCCGGACGAGGUUCUCGAGGAGAUCUUCCUCCGCCUCCCGCCGGACGAGCCUGCGUGCCUCGUGUGCUCCUCCCUCGCUAGCAAGCUUUGGCUCGGCCUCCUCUCCAGCCCUGCUUUCCUCGGUCGCUACCGCGAGUUCCAUGGAGCUCCUCCCAUGCUGGGCUUCCUUCAUAACUGGCUGGAGGGUUGCGGCCCGGUGGAGAAAUAUCCCAUCCCCCACUUCACCACCACCACGAAAUUCGCUGCGCGCAUUCCUCAUGUCGACGACUGGGUGCACCUGAACUACGUUGCGUGGGACUGCCGCCAUGGCCGUGUUCUCCUUGGGGAUGACAAUCCGGUACCCAUGGCGCUCGUCGUUUGGGACCCCAUGACGGGCUGCCGGAGGGAGAUGAACUUGCCGGACGUGGUGUACAACAAUUACGGGGCUGCGGUGCUCUGCGCUGCGACCAGCUGUGACCACCGUGCGUGUCACGCAGCCCCCUUCCAGUUGGUCUUUGUCGGCCUGAACUUGACUGAAGAAGGUGAAUGUGUUGCCCACGCGUGGCUGUCCUUGCCGGAGACGGGUGACUGGAGCAAGCCGUGCCCUGGAUUUGAUCAGUGGGGCGAGUCGUGCCUUGGUCUUCAUCUGGCAGCCGAUGCAUUCAUCGAGCCAAUGCCCCCUGUCCUUGUUAAAGAAGCACUUCACUUCAUGCUUCAGUAUGAUGAUGAUGAUAGUGUAGCAAUUCUCAAGUAUGACUUGAGCUCUAAUUCCUUAUCGCUCAUUGAUGCGCCAAUUAUGGGGUCUGAUGUUGCUGGUGCCACCAUACUCAUGGCGAUGUCAGAUGGCAGUUUAGGGUAUGCACUUGUGGAUGGGUUAAUGCUCUACCUAUGGUCAAGACAGAUGGAUUCCGGCAGAGUUGCGCCAUGGAGUCCAUGUACAAAUAUCAAUCUUGGGAAGCUUCUCCCCAUCCAAAAUCACAAGAAAAGACUUAGACUGGUUGGAUCCGUGGAAGCCAGUGAUAUCGUUUUCGUGACCACAGACCUGGGCAUCUACGAAAUUAAUGUCAAGUCGCGGCAGUGGAAGAGGCUAUGGAAGAACGAGAAAUUUUGUGCUUUGAUUCCGUUCAUGAGUUUUUACAAUCCACAUGAAAUGGUGAUUCUCAGUCAAACGGCACACUCACAAGGUAUGGUUAAAUAA